CCUACGGGCGGCAGCAGUGAGGAAUAUUGGUCAAUGGGCGUAAGCCUGAACCAGCCAAGUCGCGUGAGGGAUGAAGGUUCUAUGAUCGUAAACCUCUUUUAUAAGGGAAUAAAGUGCGGGACGUGUCCCGUUUUGUCUGUACCUUAUGAAUAAGGAUCGGCUAACUCCGUGCCAGCAGCCGCGGUAAUACGGAGGAGCCGAGCGUUAUCCGGAUUUAUUGGGUUUAAAGGGUGCGUAGGCGGCCUUUUAAGUCAGCGGUGAAAGUCUGUGGCUCAACCAUGGAAUUGCCGUUGAAACUGGGAGGCUUGAGGAUGUGUGAGGCAGGCGGAAUGCGUGGGGUAGCGGUGAAAUGCGUAGAUAUCACGCAGAACCCCGAUGGCGAAGGCAGCCUGCCAAGCCAUGACUGACGCUGAGGCACGAAAGCGUGGGGAGCAAACAGGAUUAGAUACCCUUGUAGUC
rnacentral:rRNA from 1 species